rnacentral:rRNA from 1 species
GCCUAAUACAUGCAAGUAGAACGCUGAAGGAGGAGCUUGCUUCUCUGGAUGAGUUGCGAACGGGUGAGUAACGCGUAGGUAACCUGCCUGGUAGCGGGGGAUAACUAUUGGAAACGAUAGCUAAUACCGCAUAACAGUAGAUGUUGCAUGACAUUUGCUUAAAAGGUGCAAUUGCAUCACUACCAGAUGGACCUGCGUUGUAUUAGCUAGUUGGUGGGGUAACGGCUCACCAAGGCGACGAUACAUAGCCGACCUGAGAGGGUGAUCGGCCACACUGGGACUGAGACACGGCCCAGACUCCUACGGGAGGCAGCAGUAGGGAAUCUUCGGCAAUGGACGGAAGUCUGACCGAGCAACGCCGCGUGAGUGAAGAAGGUUUUCGGAUCGUAAAGCUCUGUUGUAAGAGAAGAACGAGUGUGAGAGUGGAAAGUUCACACUGUGACGGUAUCUUACCAGAAAGGGACGGCUAACUACGUGCCAGCAGCCGCGGUAAUACGUAGGUCCCGAGCGUUGUCCGGAUUUAUUGGGCGUAAAGCGAGCGCAGGCGGUUAGAUAAGUCUGAAGUUAAAGGCUGUGGCUUAACCAUAGUACGCUUUGGAAACUGUUUAACUUGAGUGCAAGAGGGGAGAGUGGAAUUCCAUGUGUAGCGGUGAAAUGCGUAGAUAUAUGGAGGAACACCGGUGGCGAAAGCGGCUCUCUG